rnacentral:tRNA from 1 species
UGCAUCGGCCGGGAAUCGAACCCGGGCUGCCCGCGUGGCAGGCGAGCAUUCUACCACUAAGCCACCGAUGC